rnacentral:rRNA from 1 species
AUUGAACGCUGGCGGCAGGCCUAACACAUGCAAGUCGAGCGAGCGGCGGACGGGUGAGUAAUGUAUGGGGAACUGCCUGAUGGAGGGGGAUAACUACUGGAAACGGUAGCUAAUACCGCAUACCAUCGGAUUUACCCAUAUGGGAUUAGCUAGUAGGUGGGGUAAUGGCUCACCUAGGCGACGAUCCCUAGCUGGUCUGAGAGGAUGAACAGCCACACUGGAACUGAGCCACGGCCCAGACUCCUACGGGAGGCAGCAGUGGGGAAUAUUGCACAAUGGGCGCAAGCCUGAUGCAGCCAUGCCGCGUGUAUGAAGAAGGCCCUCGGGUUGUAAAGUACUUUCAGCCGGGAGGCGUUACCCACAGAAGAAGCACCGGCUAACUCCGUGCCAGCAGCCGCGGUAAUUC